rnacentral:lncRNA from 1 species
AAGAAGCUCCCACGUGGAUGCACUUUUGCUAUAGUAGCUCUUGAAAAAAUAAUUUUGAGUAGAUGUUUCUGAGCAAAUAGUGUCAAAAACGCUUUAAGCAGGAUGCUUUGUCAGCUGAAGUACUGAAAGAAGCUCCCACGUGAACGCGCUUUUGCUACAGUAGCACAUGUUUGGCCUAAGGCUAUAAAUGAUGCAAAAUUUUUUCUCAGAUUGCAUAAGUUACA